AAAUUCUAUGUGAGCAUUAUGUUUUCUUGUGUGUGAUCAAGUGUAGGAUUGAACACCGAAAGGCGACGCUGAUUUCUGUUGAAGACUUACUCGAGGACGAGCAAGGUUUAAGCAUGGGGGGAUUGUUGAUGCUCACUAUUGAUACACUUUUACCCUUGUUUAUCUUCAAUAAUUACAUAAAUUUAAUACCCAAACUAUUGAUUACACCUAAUAAAUUGG
rnacentral:lncRNA from 1 species